rnacentral:rRNA from 1 species
UAAGACGUAGGAUGCAAGCGUUGUCCGGAUUUAUUGGGCGUAAAGAGUUCGUAGGCGGUUUGUUAAGUCUGACGUUAAAGAUCAGGGCUCAACCCUGGGAUUGCUUCGGAUACUGACAGACUGGAGUAUGGUAGAGGUAAGUGGAAUUUCUGGUGUAGCGGUGAAAUGCGUAGAUAUCAGGAAGAACACCGGUGGCGUAGGCGACUUACUGGGCCAUAACUGACGCUGAGGAACGAAAGCCAGGGGAGCAAAUGGGAUUAGAUACCCCAGUAGUCCUGGCUGUAAACGAUGAAUACUAGGUGUAGCGGGUAUCGACCCCUGCUGUACCGCAGCUAACGCGAUAAGUAUUCCGCCUGAGUAGUACGGCCGCAAGGUUG